CCUACGGGGGGCAGCAGUGGGGAAUAUUGGACAAUGGGCGAAAGCCUGAUCCAGCCAUGCCGCGUGUGUGAAGAAGGCCUUCGGGUUGUAAAGCACUUUCAGUGGGGAAGAAAGCCUUGGGGCUAAUACCCUCGAGGAAGGACAUCACCCACAGAAGAAGCACCGGCUAACUCCGUGCCAGCAGCCGCGGUAAUACGGAGGGUGCGAGCGUUAAUCGGAAUUACUGGGCGUAAAGCGUGCGUAGGCGGUCUGAUAAGCCGGUUGUGAAAGCCCCGGGCUCAACCUGGGAACGGCAUCCGGAACUGUCAGGCUAGAGUGCAGGAGAGGAAGGUAGAAUUCCCGGUGUAGCGGUGAAAUGCGUAGAGAUCGGGAGGAAUACCAGUGGCGAAGGCGGCCUUCUGGACUGACACUGACGCUGAGGUGCGAAAGCGUGGGUAGCAAACAGGAUUAGAUACCCGUGUAGUC
rnacentral:rRNA from 1 species